rnacentral:rRNA from 1 species
UACAGAGGGUGCGGGCGUUGUCCGGAAUCAUUGGGCGUAAAGGGUGCGUAGGCGGUUUCCUAAGUUUGAUGUGAAAUCCCGGGGCUUAACCCUGGAAUUGCAUUGAAUACUGGGAGACUAGAGUACUGGAGAGGAAACUGGAAUUUACGGUGUAGCAGUGAAAUGCGUAGAGAUCGUAAGGAAGACCAGUGGCGAAGGCGAGUUUCUGGACAGUUACUGACGCUGAGGCACGAAGGCCAGGGGAGCAAACGGG